UCCCUGAGUAAAGUGGCGUACUGGUGAGUAACACGUGGAUGAUCUACCUCUUGGUGGGGAAUAACCUGGGGAAACCUGGGCUAAUACCGCAUAAGUUCGUGAGAAGAAAGCCGCAAGGCGCCGGGAGAGGAGUCCGCGGUCGAUUAGGUAGUUGGUGGGGUAAGAGCCCACCAAGCCAAAGAUCGAUAGCCGGCCUGAGAGGGCACACGGCCACACUGGCACUGAAACACGGGCCAG
rnacentral:rRNA from 1 species